rnacentral:rRNA from 1 species
UACAGAGGGUGCGAGCGUUGUUCGGAAUUAUUGGGCGUAAAGGGCGCGUAGGCGGUGCGGUAAGUCACCUGUGAAAUCUCCUGGCUCAACUGGGAGCUUGCAGGCGAAACUGCCGUGCUGGAGUGUGGGAGAGGUGCGUGGAAUUCCCGGUGUAGCGGUGAAAUGCGUAGAUAUCAAGAGGAACACCUGAGGUGAAGACGGGUUGCUGGGCCGACACUGACGCUGAUAGCGCGAAAGCCAGGGGAGCAAACGGG